CUCUGAGCCAUCAGCCCAGAGCCUGACGCGGGGCUCGAACUCACGGACCGCAAGAUCGUGACCUGGCUGAAGUUGGACGCUUAACCGACUGCGCCACCCAGGCGCCCCGAGAAUAAACUUGUUUUUGAAGGUCCCCAAAUGACUCCAGAAGAAGGGAUUCUGUCUAAGGGAGAGAUUUGACCAGCAGUUUGAUUAGUCUCGAUAUGUAUUUAAUAGUUAAUAUUUAAAAACUUGUGUAAUAUUUAGUAAUCGGCUUUUUUUAAAUUAAACAUAAGACAGUAUUAAUUGGACUGGGUAUUAAUAAAUAAUUACUAAUAUUGAACAUAGUUCUUAAAUUCCAUUUAGGUUCUAAGUACUCAUUUGACAAAUCUUUGAGUGCCAUAGCUGAGGCCCCUGGAGCUAGAUUUUUGAGUUGUGACAAAAAACAAGGACAGUUUUAUCCUCCAUCUCAGAAAGAGGUAACGGUCAUCUUGGAGACGAGUUACCAGAAUGCAUCUUGCUCUCCUCCUUCAUCAUGUCUGUGUCUGGAAUGCUUUCUAUUUACCCCUCUCCCUACUGCAAUACUGUUCUCCUUUUGGCCUCCUGGCCGAGUCCUAGUCAUCUGCUGAGUCCCAACCCAGAUGCUCUUUGAAACCUUCCUGAAUUUCCCAACCAAAGUCAGAUGUUAUUUCUUCCUUUGUCCCACUCUAUUUUGUGCACGACUCCAUUAGAGAGCAUUUACAGAGGAAUUUUCAUUGCUGGUUUAUAUGUCUGUCUUUGCCCGGAACUGUGAGUUCUCCGAGGACCAUUAUUGGGCCAUUAUUUGAUGUGAGGCAUUACUUCUAGUGCUGUAGAGAGGAGACAGAGUUGUUUCAAAUAUAGUCCCUGUUUUCUAAGAACUUACUGUUUAGAGCUUUAGGGCAAGAAAGGAACUCGUUGUUGGUAAUUGCCUCACUCUGCCACUCUUCCGGAGGAUCCGGGGAAAAGAGUUCCUGGUUUUAAUAUAGGUUUUAUUACUGUUCAGGUAUGGUAAGGCCAACCAAUCAGGAGACAGCUGCCAUCGAAAAGAUCAUAUACUUAUAGAUCUGAAGGCAAGGGCGUGCCACGCCAUGAGGGCCACACAGGGAAGCACCAGGGACAAGGGGAAAACUGUCACAGCCUUUAUUGUGGUCUCCAUGGGAAGGAACAGGUGCCAGGCAGUCGGAAGCGUUUCCUGUGCAUGUGGUGGCCUGAUCCUGUCUGCACAUCUGUGAGGUUCUGGUGGCUGAGAAGACUCCUGUUCUCAAGGAAGGAAAAUGCUUGAAAACAGCCAACCAGAGUGAGAGAGAUCCGAAUCCGUCCACGUCACACAGCUUGGGGAUGGAGACUGAUUUCUAGGUUUUCGGUAGAAAACAGGCGUCCUUCCUGCCUAUGUCCUGAGGAGAAAGGAGAAGCUAGUGUAACCGAAGAGGCUGGGGUCACCCUGGCUUUACACCCUCGAUUAAAGUCUGCUUGCUGUCGCAAUA